AAGCCAUCAGUGGUGCAAAAGUGCUUAUAGUGCAGGUGUGUUUCCCUCUUGAAGUGGUGACAAACUGCAUAAUUUCUACACUCAAGAUGCACCCUUGGAUAGAAAGUUCAUUUAUGGGAAAACAUCUCUUUUGCAAAACUUGGCAGAUGAAGCUUUUCAGGCCCGGAUGCGAAACACAAAACACCUGCUAAUAAUGUCUGCAGAGGAAGCUGCUCUUAAAUGGAAGGAAGGAAGG